rnacentral:pre_miRNA from 1 species
GAAUUACUCCCUCCGUUUGGAAAUACUUGUUGGAGAAAUGUAUGUAUCUAGAUUUUUUUAGUUAUAUAUAUUCAUUUUUAUGCAUUUCUGCGACAAGUAUUUUCGGACGAAGGGAGUACAUC